rnacentral:rRNA from 1 species
AGUGAACGCUGGCGGUAGGCCUAACACAUGCAAGUCGAACGGCAGCACAGUAAGAGCUUGCUCUUACGGGUGGCGAGUGGCGGACGGGUGAGGAAUACAUCGGAAUCUACUUUUUCGUGGGGGAUAACGUAGGGAAACUUACGCUAAUACCGCAUACGACCUACGGGUGAAAGCAGGGGAUCUUCGGACCUUGCGCGAUUGAAUGAGCCGAUGUCGGAUUAGCUAGUUGGCGGGGUAAAGGCCCACCAAGGCGACGAUCCGUAGCUGGUCUGAGAGGAUGAUCAGGCACACUGGAACUGAGGCACGGUCCAGACUCCUACGGGAGGCAGCAGUGGGGAAUAUUGGACAAAGGGCGCAAGGCUGAACCCGCCAGACCGCAGAGGGGAAAAAGGACUUCGGGUUGUAAAGCCCUUUUGUUAGGAAAGAAAAGCAGCAGGUUUAUACCCCGCUGUUCUGACGGUACCCAAAGAAUAAGCACCGGCUGACUUCGUG